CCGCCAUUUUGAAGUAAAUUCAAAACCUACUUUUGCGAACUAGUCCUAGGUUUUUCGCCCGAUCGGAACCAAACCAGUGCAGAAAUGUUCUCUGGACAGUGAAUAUCAAUAAUUAUCAAAAAAAAGUUGAAAUUUCGACUCAUCGUUGCAAAAGGUCCCCAAAAAGUUUGUCAGGUGGGGGGCCAUUUUUACUAAAAUGGCUAUAACUCAUGAACCAAAUGAGAUAUCUUCACCAAACUUGGUACACAUGUGUAUAAGCUCAAUCUUUGGUCAAAUAAAAAAAAUUGCACAGCUCUGCCACUUGGUGGCGCUAUAAGCCUGAAAAAACAUAAAAAUGACUAUAACUAUGCAAUCGUUGGUCCGAUCGACCUGAAAAUUGGUAUGCAGUGUCUCUGUCCAAUGUGCCAUAAGGGUCUAUGAGGACAUUGGCGUAUCUCAAAAAACAUGGCCGCCAUCGGCCAAUGAAGUUUGAGCACCUAUUAGACAAGGUUAACGGAGGCCGAUCGGAACAAAACUCACUGGGCAUGUUCGACUCAUGGCCCUAAAGGUCUGUAAGAAUUUUGAAAGAAAUCGGCCACUAGUUGGCGCUAACGAGUUUUAUGGCUCUGUAAUCACGUGGUGUUUCACACAUCCACACAAUAUGCAUAUCAUUUGAUAGAUCUCCUCAUGAUGAACAACUUUGCCUCAAGAACCAUUGCUGUCAAUCAAACCGUUCAUUAAUUAUUCACAAAUAUGUGAAAAACCUACUUUUGCGAACUAGUCCUAGGUUUUUCACUCAAUCUCGAUCAAACCACUGCAGCACAGUUCUCCAGACUCUCUAGAUCAAUAAUUAUCAAAAAAAUGUUGAAUUUUGUCCUUUGGUUAGCUAUAACGGGGUCAUUUAGAAAAGGGGCGUGGCCACAUAUACCCAAAAGCCUAUAAAACCUAAACAAAAACUCAAAACUUUACAAAAGUUGGAGAAAACAUGUGUCAGAUGACUCUUAACAAGCAUGCAAAGUUUCGUGAAGAUCGGACCAUAGGUGGCGCUAUAACAGUUAAAAAGGCUUCAAAAACACAAGCUGUGUAUGGUAAAUGGCUUCAAAUGGCUAAAUAAAUGCUAGUAUAUUCACACAAACACUAGAUCUUCAUAUCAUUUGAUAGAUCUCCUCAUGAUGAACAACUUUGCCUCAAGAACCAUUGCUGUCAUUCAAGUCGUUCAUUAAUUAUUCACAAAUAUGUUAAAAACCUACUUUUGCGAACUAGUCCUAGGUUUUUCGCUUAAUCUCGAUCAAACCACUGCAGUAAUAUUCUCUGGACUCUCUAGAUCAAUAAUUAUCAAAAAAAUGUUGAAUUUUGUCCUUUGGUUAGCUAUAACGGGGUCAUUUACAAAAGGGGCGUGGCCACAUAUACCCAAAAGCCUAUCAAAACUAAACAAAAACUCAAAACUUUACGAAAAUUGGUGAAAACAUGUGUCAGAUGAUUCUUAACAAGCAUGCAAAGUUUCGUGAAGAUCGGACCAUAGGUGGUGCUAUAACAGUUAAAAAGGCUUCAAAAACACAACAUUUCUAUUGUAAUUGGCCUCGAAUUGCUAAAAAAUGCUCAUUUUUUCACACAAACACUAGAUCUUCAUACCAUAUGAUAGAUCUCCUCAUUCUCAACAAUUUUUUGUCUAAGACCAUUGCUGUCAAUCCAACUGUUCUUUAAAUAUGUUCUUUAAAUCUACUGUACCCAAAAGCCUAACAUUUUUAAAAGAAAGCUUGCAACGUCUCAAAACUGUGACAAAAAUGACAAAUAAUCUCAUUCUAAACAAAUAUGCAAAAUUUAAGAGAGACUGGGCAAAAAUAACACUAUAAUAGUUAUGAUGUUUAAAAUCUCAGUGUUUGUAUGAGACAUUGCAUGAAAUUGCAAUAAUAACCACUAGAUGUCAGUAGAAGACCACUAAUGGGCUUAUUCAGCUGAACACAACUGCUUUUAAUAGGUUUGAUGAUCGAUUAACACUUAUAAAAUCACUGUUAUAACAUUUAAAAUCACAUUUAGGCAAAGCUUACAAUUUUGUUCAUACAGACAUAUCAGUUUUUUACAAUUAUGCCACAUUAUGAUUACAGUGAAAUCUGAAAAAGACACAAACUGUUACAAAGAGAAUACUUGCAAGUAAAAGUGUUGGCCCAUAUCAUUUAUUUCAAAUAUCUGUACAAGAAAAUGUGUAUGCAUGUAUGUCUCUGUGUGUGUAAACAUGUUUAUUCAGUAUUAAUAUAUUAGUUUAAACUUU